GGGAAUAGCUCAGUUGGUAGAGCACGACCUUGCCAAGGUCGGGGGCGCGAGUUCGAGUCUCGUUUCCC
rnacentral:tRNA from 1 species